rnacentral:rRNA from 1 species
UACGUAGGGGGCUAGCGUUGUCCGGAUUUAUUGGGCGUAAAGCGUGCGUGAGCGGUCCCGCAAGUCCGCUGUGAAAGCCCCGAGCUUAACUUGGGAACUGCAGUGGAAACUAUGGGACUUGAAUCCGGCAGAGGGGGGUGGAAUGCCACGUGUAGCAGUGAAAUGCGUAGAGAUGUGGCGGAACACCGAUGGCGAAGGCAGCCCCCUGGGCUGAGAUUGACGCUCAGGCACGAAAGCGUGGGGAGCAAACAGG